rnacentral:rRNA from 1 species
GCGGCAUGCCUAACACAUGCAAGUCGAACGGAGUUUAUGCGACGGAAGCCUUCGGGCAGAAGAUGUAUAAACUUAGUGGCGGACGGGUGAGUAACGCGUGGAUAACCUGCCUUGUAGAGGGGGACAACAGUUGGAAACGACUGCUAAUACCGCAUAAUGUCAUUUAUUCGCAUGGAUAGAUGAAGAAAGAUGGCCUCUUAAUAAUGCUAUCGCUAUAAGAUGGAUCCGCGUCUGAUUAGCUAGUUGGUGAGGUAACGGCUCACCAAGGCAACGAUCAGUAGCCGGCCUGAGAGGGUGAACGGCCACAUUGGGACUGAGACACGACCCAAACUCCUACGGGAGGCAGCAGUGGGGAAUCUUCCGCAAUGGGCGAAAGCCUGACGGAGCAAUGCCGCGUGAAUGAAGAAGGCCUUCGGGUCGUAAAGUUCUGUCCUUAUUGAAGAGAGGUAUAUGUGUGAAUAAUGCAUAUAUAGGACGGUAGAUAAGGAGGAAGCCCCGGCUAACUACGUGCCAGCAGCCGCGGUAAUACGUAGGGGGCGAGCGUUGUCCGGAAUCACUGGGCGUAAAGGGCGCGUAGGCGGUUUGUUAAGUCAGAUGUGAAAAGUGAGGGCUCAACCCUUAGAGUGCAUCUGAUACUGGCAGACUUGAGUGCUGGAGAGGAAAGCGGAAUUCCUAGUGUAGCGGUGAAAUGCGUAGAUAUUAGGAGGAACACCAGUGGCGAAGGCGACUUUCUGGACAGUAACUGACGUUGAGGCACGAAAGUGUGGGGAGCAAACAGGAUUAGAUACCCUGGUAGUCCACACCGUAAACGAUGGAUACUAGGUGUAGGGGAUAUUAAGUCCUCUGUGCCGUCGCAAACGCAGUAAGUAUCCCACCUGGGGAGUACGGCCGCAAGGUUGAAACUCAAAGGAAUUGACGGGGGCCCGCACAAGCAGUGGAGUAUGUGGUUUAAUUCGAAGCAACGCGAAGAACCUUACCAGGGCUUGACAUAUACAAGAAUACAUAAGAGAUUAUGUAGCUCUUCGGAGCUUGUAUACAGGUGGUGCAUGGUUGUCGUCAGCUCGUGUCGUGAGAUGUUGGGUUAAGCCCCGCAACGAGCGCAACCCCUAAUAUCAGUUGCCAGCAUGUAAAGAUGGGAACUCUGAUAUGACUGCCGGUGAUAAAUCGGAGGAAGGUGGGGACGACGUCAAAUCAUCAUGCCCUUUAUGUCCUGGGCUACACACGUACUACAAUGGCUAUAACAGAGGGAAGCAAUAUAGCGAUAUGGAGCAAAACCCUAAAAAUAGUCUCAGUUCGGAUUGAAGGCUGAAAUUCGCCUUCAUGAAGCUGGAAUUGCUAGUAAUGGCAGGUCAGCAUACUGCCGUGAAUACGUUCCCGGGCCUUGUACACACCGCCCGUCACACCAUGAGAGUUGGGAAUACCCGAAGCCUGUGAGCCAACUUUUUAAGAGGCAGCAGUCGAAGGUAGAAUCAAUGAUUGGGGUG